CUGAAGCAGAACUGAUGCUGUAGUACCUGUCACUCACUUGGCUCGUUCCUGCUGAACCUCCAAGAGAUAAACCCCUCUUCAAGAAAGUCUGAGGUAAUGUCUUAGUGAACUUGUGUUCAUUUAUUUUUUCUUAGUAAUCUUAGCUGCUGUAUUAAUGCUUGUGAUGCUAUUGUACAGCUCUGCUGAUACCAUCGUCUUUAACAGCAGUGUUUUCUCCCAGGUCUUCUUCAAGCCAGUUAAGAGAGGAAGAACAGCUUAGACACUCAGACAGCUGAACACACCAAAGGUGGACAUCAUGCAGCCACCCUGAGCCUUGAGCCUCUCUGUGUGACGAAGCUUUGCUGCUGCAGACCUGGUGAAGUUGCUCUGGACAGACAUAUUUUUUGCUCUGCUGCAGUGCUGAAGGUAUUCAUUGUAAUGAUGUGUGUAUUUAUUCAAUAUGUUUAGUUUCACAGAUUAUCAACACAAAUGUUUCUGUUUAUUUCCAGUUUUGAACCAGCUACAUUCUCCCACUUCAAGUCACUGUCUGUUCAUCCACGGUGUAGCUAGUGCAGCUCAGCAGAGUCCUACUAAUGGUGA